rnacentral:tRNA from 1 species
UAUUUUAAUAGCUUAUUUAGAGUAUGAUAUUGAAGCUGUCAAGGAGAUUUAGGUCUUAGAAUAU